AACAGAGCGGCCAGAGAAACGGAGGAACGAUUGUAGUAAGGCGUUUGUGCAAAACUGCGGAAAAACUGCAGAAAAUGUGCGGGUGUCGAACCCUCUCACCGGGAAAAGUGUGGGUGUUAAAACCCCCACAUCCCCCACGGGUGCGACGCCCCUGGGAGGAGGAGUUUAGUACAGACACUAUUCAGCAUGCAGCUGGUAAAGAUGAACAUCACUCAACACUGUGUGGAGCAGCUGAGCAGAGAGAGAACAUGUUGAUCUAUAUUAUUAUACUGCUGUCAACAAUUGAAGGUUCCAGAGCCUCAGAAGUCAUAACUCCAAAAAGUGACAGAGAAUUGUCUCUUGAGGGUGACAAUGUGACCCUCUCCUGUAACUACAGCGGUUCUGCUCGUGCUGUUCACUGGUAUCGCCAAUAUGCAGGUUCACCACCACAGUUCCUCAUACUGGAAGAUUCAGGGUUUACAACUCCAGCUAAUCCACCCGUUCCAGGAAUAACCAUCAGUCACAGAAAAACAGAACUCCAUGUGGAUCUGAGCAUCUCCUCUGUUAAAGUGACAGACUCCGCUCUGUACUACUGUGCUCUGACGCCCACAGUGACAGGAAACACAACAACACUGUACAAAAACCUGUAUUUCAGGAAAGUAUAAAGCAUACAGGAUAUUUCUACUGACAUUUUAUUAUAUA